AGAGGUCUCGAGCGUUGUUCGGAUUCAUUGGGCGUAAAGGGUGCGUAGGUGGCGCCGUAAGUCGGGUGUGAAAUUUCGGAGCUUAACUCCGAAACUGCAUUCGAUACUGCGGUGCUUGAGGACUGGAGAGGAGACUGGAAUUCAUGGUGUAGCAGUGAAAUGCGUAGAGAUCAUGAGGAAGACCAGUGGCGAAGGCGGGUCUCUGGACAGUUCCUGACACUGAGGCACGAAGGCCAGGGGAGCAAACGGGAUUAGAUACCCCGGUAGUCCUGGCAGUAAACGGUGCACGUUUGGUGUGGGAGGAUUCGACCCCUUCCGCGCCGGAGCUAACGCGUUAAACGUGCCGCCUGGGGAGUACGGUCGCAAGAUUA
rnacentral:rRNA from 1 species